rnacentral:rRNA from 1 species
CCUACGGGAGGCAGCAGUGGGGAAUCUUGCGCAAUGGGCGAAAGCCUGACGCAGCGACGCCUCGUGGGGGAUGAAGGCUCUCGGGUUGUAAACCCCUUUCGGCAGGAACGAAAUUGACGGUACCUGAAGAAGAAGCACCGGCCAACUACGUGCCAGCAGCCGCGGUAAUACGUAGGGUGCAAGCGUUGUCCGGAUUUAUUGGGCGUAAAGAGCUCGUAGGCGGCUUCGUAAGUCGGGUGUGAAACCUCCAGGCUUAACCUGGAGACGCCACCCGAUACUGCGAUAGCUAGAGUCUGGUAGGGGAUCACGGAAUUCCUGGUGUAGCGGUGAAAUGCGCAGAUAUCAGGAGGAACACCGAUGGCGAAGGCAGUGAUCUGGGCCAGUACUGACGCUGAGGAGCGAAGCGUGGGGAGCAAACAGGAUUAGAUACCCUGGUAGUCCACGCCGUAAACGUUGGGCACUAGGUGUGGGUCCUUAUCAACGGGAUCCGUGCCGCAGCUACGACAUAAGUAGCCCGCCGUCGGGAGGUACGGUCGCGACGAACGUAAACGUACAAANAGAAGUUAAGUACGGCGUUGAGACGUUGCCGAACGGACGACGACGAGGGAGGAGG